rnacentral:lncRNA from 1 species
CCAGACCUUUCUUACAGACGCGAUACGGGCCAAUCUGAUCUAGGUAAUCAUGGACUAAAGCUCUCUGCUCACAGGACCCUAGGCUAUGUCACACUGACAGCCGCAUCCGCCCGUGCUUACCCGAAGGUUCCUGGUAAGAGGCAACUGCUCUGGCCCACCUUUCCAGCACCUGGUCUUUUUUCUAGGGCCACAGGCUCCUCCCUUCCAGCACGCACUCUCCCAGGCUUCUUCCCACUGCCCCAUGCUCCACCCACAGUCAGGUCUCCGGCUGACUCCAUGCAGUUCAGUUUUGUAGGUUUAUUUUUGCCUCGGGGUCCAGAGGCGAGGUUAUGACGGGCCUAACCCCUGACUGGCACUUCCUGUACCCACUGUCCUGUAGCAGGUGCUUUGCUGAAGCAGCCAAAGGGAAGGGAUGGGGGAGGUGAGCCAGCUGCCAGGAGCUUGGCACAAGCCAAGGCUUGUGCCGUGCUCCUGGCCAGCCCCGUGCUGCCAGAGAUUCGAUUCUCAAGUCAUUUUUAACAGCUGCUCCCACCCCCCCCGACCUGUCAUCUGUCACUUUCCUUCGGCUUCACCGCGACUUGGUAGGAAGAAGUCCCUCUCUUGACCACCCCGCCUUUUACUCCCAGGGUCUGGGAAGCGCCCAGUCUUUCGGUCCCUGGCCACACUGCCCCAUCACACUUCCCCUCCUUGGUUUCCUCCAAGUGAAAAGCAAAACUUUCUGCGCUGCGGUCUGGGAG